rnacentral:tRNA from 1 species
CCUGAUGGCUCAGAUGGUAAAGCGUCUGCCUGCAAUGCGGGAGACCCAGGUUCAAUCCCUGGGUCAGGA